AGAGUUUGAUCCUGGCUCAGAUUGAACGCUGGCGGCAUGCCUUACACAUGCAAGUCGAACGGCAGCGGGGACUUCGGUCCGCCGGCGAGUGGCGAACGGGUGAGUAAUAUAUCGGAACGUACCUUUCAGUGGGGGAUAACGUAGCGAAAGUUACGCUAAUACCGCAUAUUCUGUGAGCAGGAAAGCAGGGGAUCGCAAGACCUUGCGCUGAUUGAGCGGCCGAUAUCAGAUUAGCUAGUUGGUGAGGUAAAGGCUCACCAAGGCGACGAUCUGUAGCGGGUCUGAGAGGAUGAUCCGCCACACUGGAACUGAGACACGGUCCAGACUCCUACGGGAGGCAGCAGUGGGGAAUUUUGGACAAUGGGGGCAACCCUGAUCCAGCCAUGCCGCGUGAGUGAAGAAGGCCUUCGGGUUGUAAAGCUCUUUCGGCCGGGAAGAAAUCGCACAGGCUAAUACCUUGUGUGGAUGACGGUACCGGAAUAAGAAGCACCGGCUAACUACGUGCCAGCAGCCGCGGUAAUACGUAGGGUGCGAGCGUUAAUCGGAAUUACUGGGCGUAAAGCGUGCGCAGGCGGUUUGGUAAGACAGGCGUGAAAUCCCCGGGCUCAACCUGGGAACUGCGCUUGUGACUGCUAAGCUAGAGUACGGCAGAGGGGGGUGGAAUUCCACGUGUAGCGGUGAAAUGCGUAGA
rnacentral:rRNA from 1 species